rnacentral:lncRNA from 1 species
GGUUGAGCCAUGACUACAGUCUAGUGCAAUAAAAUGCUUGGAGGGAGUCCAAGGCUUGAGGGAGACAUGGACUGUGGAGGGAUACAGCUGGAGAGAAAAUAAUCAAAACAAGGCAGAUGAGAGGGAGUUAGAGGAACCUGUUCAACGCUGACACUUCAAAAGCUCGUGCAGAGGCUCCGUGGCAACAGUACUGCCGGCUUCCUGUGUGGCUUUCCGUUUAUUAGCUUGUUGUUUGGGGGGUGUGAGAAUCCAUUUA